rnacentral:rRNA from 1 species
UACGUAGGUGGCAAGCGUUGUCCGGAAUUAUUGGGCGUAAAGCGCGCGCAGGUGGUUUCUUAAGUCUGAUGUGAAAGCCCCCGGCUCAACUGGGGAGGGUCACGCGAUACUGGUCGACUCGAAGGCAGGAGAGGGUAGUGGAAUUCCCGGUGUAGUGGUGAAAUGCGUAGAUAUCGGGAGGAACACCAGUGGCGAAGGCGACUACCUGGCCUGUUCUUGACGCUGAGGCGCGAAAGCUAGGGGAGCAAACGGG